GAUGAACGCUGGCGGCGUGCCUAAUACAUGCAAGUCGAGCGAACAGACGAGGAGCUUGCUCCUCUGACGUUAGCGGCGGACGGGUGAGUAACACUUGGAUCACCUCCCUAUAAGACUGGGAUGACUUCGGGAAAACGACGCUAUUACCGCAUACUAUUUUGAACCUCUGGUUUCAAGCUUUAAAGAUGGGUUUGCGGUCCCUUAUCGAUGAGCCCGCGCCGCAUUUGAUGGUUGGGAAGGUAACGGCUUACCAAGCCGCCGAUUCGUAUACCACCUGGGAGGGGGAUCGGCCACAUGGGAACGGGAACACGGACCAGACGACUACGGGAGGCAGCAGUAGGGAAUCUUACGCAAUGGGCGAGAGCCUGACGGAGCAACGCCGCGUGAGUGAUGAAGGUCUUCGGAUCGUAAAACUCUGUUAUUAGGGAAGAACAAAUGUGUAAGUAACUAUGCACGUCUUGACGGUACCUAAUCAGAAAGCCACGGCUAACUACGUG
rnacentral:rRNA from 1 species